GCCUGCUGUGUGUAUACAGGCCCGGACACCACCAGUAUGGAAGACUUACCUGCCCACUGCCCACUGCUGAUGCUGCCCUUUUAAAGUUGUGAAUGCAAAACACACUGAAGAGACUGCAGCCGGCGCGCACCUCCUUGUACAGCUUACGGUGACAUCAUCACAAGCAUGUGUGACAUCACAGGGUUCUAAACCAUCUUCAGACAAAAUAGAUAUAUUUCAAACUAAACUGCAAUGAAUCGCAAUGAAGCGACAGAGAACGAAGAAACAUUGCCCAUGGCAAGUCUCAUUUGAUGUGACCUAGGCUCAUAUGUUAUGGAAAGAUUGUGCCCUCGGAAAACAAAGAACAAAGGAGCUUUUCUUGUGGAAUCACCCUAGAACCCCAUGUAAUUUGUUAAGUUAACACUAUGGCUUGUGCAGGAAUCGAAGGAGCUUGAUACGCUUCACUGUGCUAUGUGAACACUAGGGUGCCCUCCUGUAAGCUAUAUAUAAGUCAUGAGAUACAUGUUACAGUUGUUCUGUUAGUUGUUUAUUUGAGAUUUAUCUUACAUUUAUUACAUUCCCACACUA